rnacentral:rRNA from 1 species
AUUGAACGCUGGCGGCAGGCCUAACACAUGCAAGUCGAACGAGUGGCGGACGGGUGAGUAAUGUCUGGGAAACUGCCCGAUGGAGGGGGAUAACUACUGGAAACGGUAGCUAAUACCGCAUACCAUCGGAUGUGCCCAGAGGGGAUUAGCUAGUAGGUGGGGUAACGGCUCACCUAGGCGACGAUCCCUAGCUGGUCUGAGAGGAUGACCAGCCACACCGGAACUGAGACACGGGCCAGACGCCUACGGGAGGCAGCAGUGGGGAAUAUUGCACAAUGGGCGCAAGCCUGAUGCAGCCAUGCCGCGUGUGUGAAGAGGGCCUUCGGGUUGUAAAGUACGUUCAGCGAGGAGGCGUUACUCGCAGAAGAAGCACCGGCUAACUCCGUGCCAGCAGCCGCGGUAAUUC